GACGAACGCUGGCGGCGUGCUUAACACAUGCAAGUCGAACGGAAAGGCCCUGCUUUUGUGGGGUGCUCGAGUGGCGAACGGGUGAGUAACACGUGUGUAACCUGCCCUUGACUUUCGGAUAACUUCAGGAAACUGGGGCUCAUACCGGAUAGGAGCUCCUGCUGCAUGGGGGGGGUUGGAAAGUUUCGGCGGUUGGGGAUGUACUCGCGGGUUAUCAGCUUGUUUGUGGGGUAGUGGCGUACCAAGGCUUUGACGGGUAGCCGGCCUGGGAGGGUGACCGGCCACAUUGGGACUGAGAUACGGCCCAGAAUGCUAUGGGAGGCAGCAGUGGGGAAUAUUGCACAAUGGGCGGACGCCUGAUGCAGAAACGCCGCGUGCGGGAUGACGGCCUUCGGGUUGUAAACCGCUUUCGACUGUGACGAAGCGUGAGUGACGGUAAUGGGUAAAGAAGCACCGGCUAACUACGUG
rnacentral:rRNA from 1 species